rnacentral:rRNA from 1 species
UACGAAGGGGGCUAGCGUUGUUCGGAAUUACUGGGCGUAAAGCGUGCGUAGACGGUUAAGUAAGUCGGAUGUGAAAGCCCCGGGCUCAACCCGGGAAUUGCAUUCGAGACUGCGUAGCUAGGGUGCGGAAGAGGGAAGCGGAAUUUCCGGUGUAGCGGUGAAAUGCGUAGAUAUCGGAAGGAACAUCAGUGGCGAAAGCGGCUUCCUGGUCCAGCACCGACGUUCAGGCACGAAAGCGUGGGGAGCAAACAGG